CCUACGGGAGGCAGCAGUGGGGAAUUUUGCACAAUGGGGGAAACCCUGACGCAGCGACGCCGCGUGAGUGAUGAAGUCCCUCGGGAUGUAAAGCUCUAUCAGUAGGGAAGAAAAUUGCGGUAACUGACUAAGGAGGCAUGGGCUAACUCCGUGCCAGCAGCCGCGGUAAUACGGAGGAGGCAAGCGUUUUCCGGAUUCAUUGGGUGUAAAGGGAGCGUAGAUGGCACGGCAAGUCUGGUGUGAAAUGCCGGGGCUCAACCUCUGAACGGCAUUGGAAACUGGCGGGCUGGAGUGCGGGAGGGGUAAGCGGAAUUCCUGGUGUAGCGGUGAAAUGCGUAGAUAUCAGGAGGAACACCGGUGGCGAAGGCGGCUUACUGGACCGUAACUGACAUUGAGGCUCGAAAGCGAGGGUAGCAAAUAGGAUUAGAUACCCUUGUAGUC
rnacentral:rRNA from 1 species